CAUGCACCAGUGGGGUCCCUCGGCCUGGCCUGUGGGAUCAUGCCAAAACCGGCUCUCCGACAUCCCCCAAGAGGUCCUGAAUUGCAAGAGGGAGCAGGCCAGGCUGAGGGACCUCACUGGUGCACG
rfam:Myotis lucifugus cont2.43204, whole genome shotgun sequence.